UACGGAGGGUGCAAACGUUGCUCGGAAUCAUUGGGCGUAAAGAGCGCGCAGGCGGUCGACCAAGUCGCGUGUGAAAGCCCCCCGGCUCAACUGGGGAGGGUCACGCGAUACUGAUCGACUCGAAGGCAGGAGAGGGUAGUGGAAUUCCCGGUGUAGUGGUGAAAUGCGUAGAUACCGGGAGGAACACCCGCGGCGAAGGCGGCCCGCUGGGCCAUCCCUGACGCUGAGGCGCGAAGGCCAGGGGAGCGAACGGGG
rnacentral:rRNA from 1 species